rnacentral:misc_RNA from 1 species
AUCCUAGAGUAGAUGCAACAUCCCUCAUAUUUGUUGCAUCCUGUAAUAAAUUGAAAAGUUAUUCUUUACCGGAUGAUUCAAGAAACUUCUCUAUAGAAAUUAUGACAAAGAUGAUGAACUCAUAGAAUAAAUUCUUAAAUUAUCCGGUGAAGAAUAACUUAUUAAUCUGCUUCAUGAUAUAAUAGAUAUUUACCGAAAUGUUGCAAAUAAAAAACGUAUGAUUACUGAUAAGAAUCCUGUGCA